rnacentral:rRNA from 1 species
UACCAGGUAAUGCUGGGCGACUCUGGUGAGACUGCCCGGUUAACGGGGAGGAAGGUGGGGACGACGUCAAGUCAUCAUGGCCCUUACGCCUAGGGCUACACACGUACUACAAUGGCGCAUACAAAGGGCAGCGAUACCGCGAGGUGGAGCCAAUCCCAAAAAGUGCGUCCCAGUCCGGAUUGCAGUCUGCAACUCGACUGCAUGAAGUUGGAAUCGCUAGUAAUUCGAGAUCAGCAUGCUCGGGUGAAUGCGUUCCCGGGCCUU